UGGCUCAGGAUUAACGCUGGCGGCGUGCCUAAUACAUGCAAGUCGAAUGGUAGCAAUACCAUGGCGAACGGGUGAGUAACACGUAGGUAACCUGUCUUUAAGCCGAGGAUAACCAUUGGAAACGAUGGAUAAUACUGGAUAGGACAUUUGAAGGCAUCUUUAAAUGUUUAAAGAUUUAUCACUUAGAGAGGGGCCUGCGGCGCAUUAGCUAGUUGGUGAGGUGAAGGCUUACCAAGGCGAUGAUGCGUAGCCGGACUGAGAGGUUGAACGGCCACAAUGGAACUGAGAACGGUCCAUACCCCUACGGGAGGCAGCAGUAGGGAAUUUUCGGCAAUGGGCGGAAGCCUGACCGAGCAACGCCGCGUGAACGAAGAAGUAUUUCGGUAUGUAAAGUUCUUUUAUUAGGGACGAAAAGACAGAUUGACGGUACCUAAUGAAUAAGCUCCGGCUAACUACGUGCCAGCCGCGGC
rnacentral:rRNA from 1 species